AUGAUGGCUCCAGUUCAACUCUUAGGACUGCUCCUGCUCUGGCUCCCAGGCAUGAGAUGUGAUAUCCAGAUGACCCAGUCUCCAUCUCUGUCGACAUCUGUGGGAGAUAGAGUCAGCAUCAGCUGCAAGGCAAGUCAGAGUAUUGGCAGUAACUUAGCCUGGUACCAGCAAAAACUUGGAGAAGCUCCCAAACUCCUGAUAUAUAAUGCAAACAGUUUGCAGUCAGGCAUCCCAUCAAGGUUCAGUGGCAGUGGAUCUGGUACAGAUUUCACACUCAGCAUCAGCAGCCUGCAGCCUGAAGAUGUUGCCACAUAUUUCUGCCAGCAAUAUAACAGCUGGUCCCACGGUGAUACAAGUCAUAACAUAAACCACUCAGAGUUGCACAUGUGUGAGGCUGGGUUUUCACAGGUGUUCUUUUGA